CGUAGGGUGCGAGCGUUAAUCGGAAUUACUGGGCGUAAAGGGCGCGUAGGCGGCCUGUUAAGUCGAACGUGAAAUCCCCGGGCUCAACCCGGGAACUGCGUCCGAUACUGGCAGGCUUGAAUCCGGGAGAGGGAUGUGGAAUUCCAGGUGUAGCGGUGAAAUGCGUAGAUAUCUGGAGGAACACCGGUGGCGAAGGCGGCAUCCUGGACCGGCAUUGACGCUGAGGCGCGAAAGCCAGGGGAGCAAACGGGAUUAGAUACCCCGGUAGUCCUGGCCCUAAACGAUGAAUGCUUGGUGUAGCGGGUAUCGAUCCCUGCUGUGCCGAAGCUAACGCAUUAAGCAUUCCGCCUGGGGAGUACGGUCGCAAGGCUG
rnacentral:rRNA from 1 species